rnacentral:lncRNA from 1 species
GUGGAAGCCUUAAACGUGUAUAAUCACUAAAGGGAGAAUUGAAAGUAAGUUUCAAUUCACAAUCGAUUUGAAAGAGUUCUAAUCGCCCACUGCCUCGCUAAAAGAAACCUAAUGGAUCGUACACCGUGUAAGGUAAAGAUUGAAGAAACAACGGAGAUGAGUACGAAUAAUUAAAUGGUUUAACUAUUUAUGGCAAGGAUUAAUUAAUAUGUUAAUUAAUCAAAUGAAUAAAGUUCGUUAAAAGACCUAGGGUUAGUUUUGGGCCUUAAGGCCCAAUGGGCUUUGAACGUCAAGCCCAUUGACUUAAGUUGUAUGACAACUUAAUGACUAAAUAUUUGCAAAGGCCCAAACAACCCAAUAACACCCUAUGGCGGGCCACAUUGAUAAUGGAGUGGGUUUUGGACUUAUUACAAAUUUGCCACUCCAAUGAAGGUAGGUAUAAAUAUGACUUUAUUGUUGGAAAUGUGCCCUAAAACCAAUCAAAUGAUGAUACUUUACGGACAUUUCACAUGUUAAACUAAUCUAGUUUAAUAUCAAGGGCAAAGAUUAUUG